CCUACGGGUGGCAGCAGUGAGGAAUAUUGGUCAAUGGUCGGGAGACUGAACCAGCCAAGUCGCGUGCGGGAGGAAGGUACAGCGUAUCGUAAACCUCUUUUGCCAGGGAACAACGCCUUGCACUCGUCCCCGGCUGCGUGUACCUGACGAAUAAGCACCGGCUAACUCCGUGCCAGCAGCCGCGGUAAUACGGAGGACGCGAGCGUUAUCCGGAUUCAUUGGGCUUAAAGGGUGCGGAGGCGGGCUUUUAAGUCAGCGGUAAAAUGGCGCGGCUCAACCUCGCCCCGCCGUUGAAACUGGGUGUCUUGAGUGGACAAGAGGCAGGCGGAAUUCGUGGUGUAGCGGUGAAAUGCAUAGAUAUCACGCGGAACUCCGAUUGCGAAGGCAGCGUGCCGGGGCGCGACUGACGCUGAGGCUCGAAGGCGUGGGUAUCAAACAGGAUUAGAUACCCGUGUAGUC
rnacentral:rRNA from 1 species